rnacentral:rRNA from 1 species
AUCAUGGCUCAGGACGAACGCUGGCGGCGUGCCUAAUACAUGCAAGUCGAACGCUUUUUCUUUCACCGGAGCUUGCUCCACCGAAAGAAAAAGAGUGGCGAACGGGUGAGUAACACGUGGGUAACCUGCCCAUCAGAAGGGGAUAACACUUGGAAACAGGUGCUAAUACCGUAUAACACUAUUUUCCGCAUGGAAGAAAGUUGAAAGGCGCUUUUGCGUCACUGAUGGAUGGACCCGCGGUGCAUUAGCUAGUUGGUGAGGUAACGGCUCACCAAGGCAACGAUGCAUAGCCGACCUGAGAGGGUGAUCGGCCACACUGGGACUGAGACACGGCCCAGACUCCUACGGGAGGCAGCAGUAGGGAAUCUUCGGCAAUGGACGAAAGUCUGACCGAGCAACGCCGCGUGAGUGAAGAAGGUUUUCGGAUCGUAAAACUCUGUUGUUAGAGAAGAACAAGGAUGAGAGUAAAAUGUUCAUCCCUUGACGGUAUCUAACCAGAAAGCCACGGCUAACUACGUGCCAGCAGCCGCGGUAAUACGUAGGUGGCAAGCGUUGUCCGGAUUUAUUGGGCGUAAAGCGAGCGCAGGCGGUUUCUUAAGUCUGAUGUGAAAGCCCCCGGCUCAACCGGGGAGGGUCAUUGGAAACUGGGAGACUUGAGUGCAGAAGAGGAGAGUGGAAUUCCAUGUGUAGCGGUGAAAUGCGUAGAUAUAUGGAGGAACACCAGUGGCGAAGGCGGCUCUCUGGUCUGUAACUGACGCUGAGGCUCGAAAGCGUGGGGAGCGAACAGGAUUAGAUACCCUGGGUAGU